rnacentral:lncRNA from 1 species
AAUAUGCCCUUUACAAAAAAGGAAAGAAAAAUCAAGUCCAAAAAAACACUUGACUAAUUUACAAAGAUUCAAGGCCAUGUCUACUGCUGGUUAUAGUCUUGCUGAAGCACAUGUGCUGAGAGACCUCCACAAGAAGAAGAUGAAGAUGGAAAGAGAAGAACGGGUGGAGUCGGGCACAACUAAAUCUGGAAAGACCGAAAUGGUACAGUCCAAGGGUUGUUGUUCGUGUUGUUCGUGGGUGUUGCAGAAAGUUCGUCGUAGCAAUGUUCAUGGCUCUAGUUCAGCUGAAGCUGCAGAAAAUGGAACUUGAAUCGAACAUAAAGUUUAGUUGUUUAUUGUGAACAAGUUGAGAAUUUGGAGUAUAAAGUUUAAAGUUUGAUUGAACUUGUAAUUCUUGUAUUUAUCCUAUCUCUCUUAGUGUUUUUACUCCUACCUCAUGGAUGAAUCGGAAAAACCCUAACUAAUUGAAUUGUAAUAUUUUGGAAUUCUAGGUACGGUGAUAAUUGUUACGUAACUUCAGUAUUGUGUGUUUCUGCCUUGGGUUUUAAUUGAGUUGGGAGCUAGUUUAUAUACAUCAUUAUUGACAUCUUUUCACAUAAAUGAAAAACUAGCAUUCAUGCAUGCGCUUUUGCACAUGUGAAAGACUUUUCUUUUAUCACGGUGCGCUACGCGCGAUUUACAAAUUUUUAUUCACGCAAGCUAAGCGCUAAUUUUUAUUCAACAGCUUAGUUUUUAAUGACAUGUGCAGAGAGACUAGUUUUCAAUUUUAUCAGAUGCCCCAAGGGACGGCUAGUUUUUAAUUAAAUUCUCGAAUUGUUAUUGCAAACAACAUACUUGGUUGCAACACCAUAAACAAAUUUAUGCAAAAAAAUUACAAUCCCUUUAAAUCAAGUACUGAAUAAAAUCAUAAUUUUGAAGUUGCAUUGGGUUUUUUAUGAUUAAAUUUAAAUUACAUAUUUUCACAAACUUAAUAAUCUCUAAGGAAUAAAAAUGAUAAGAAAUUGCUUAAGAUGAGGAAGAACCGAACCAAGUGAGACCUGAACCAAGUGAGGUGCAUCAAGAAUGAGAAUUGAAAGGUUCUUGCUACAGAGAACGCAGUCAAAGACAGUUGGAGAGCUUAUUUUCAUAAUUUUUUCAAUGAAGGACACAAAAGGAAUACUUCUUUGGGGGGAGUUGAGUAACUCGAAAGAGUGUAGAAACUACUCCCUCUACCGCUGAAUUAGGAAGGAAGAAGUGGUUGUAGCUUUGAAAAAGAUGAAGCAUAGAAAAGCAGUGCACCCAGAUGAUAUACCGAUUGAAGUGUGGAAGGUCUUGGGAGAGACAAGAAUAGCAUGGCUCACAAACCUUUUCAAUAAGAUUUUCAAAACAAAGAGCACUUUGGUGCCUAUCUAGAAGAAUAAGGGUGACAUAUAAAAUUACAUGAAAGGGGUAUUAAGUUAUUGAGUCAUACAAUGAAGCUCUAGGAGAGAGUAAUUGAGUAUAGACUGUGGCAAGAGACACGGGUCUUAGACAACCAAUUUGGGUUCAUUCCAGGGCGCUCAACCAUGGAGGCAAUUUAUCUUUCACAAAGAUCAAUGGAAAGAUAUAGAGAUAUGAAAAAUGAUUUGCACAAGGUCUUUAUAGAUUUGGAAAAAAAAACGUAUGAUAGGGUCCCAAGAGACAUUCUUUGGAGGAUUUUAGAGAAGAAAAGAGUACGAGUAGUAUAUAUCCAAACUAUAAGGAUAUGUAUGAUAGAGUAAGGACUACCGUAAGAACUCAUGAAGGACAAACCGAAAGCUUCCCCAUAACUGUAGGGUUACCUCAAGGCUCAUCUUUAAGUCCUUACCUUUUUGCAUUGAUAAUGGACGAGUUAAAGGGACAUAUUCAAGAUGAUAUUCGUUGGUGUAUGCUUUUUGCAGACGAUAUAGUGUUGAUAGAUGAAACUCAAGAAUGAGUAAAUGCAAAGCUUAACCUUUGGAGAGAAGUGUUAGAAUCUAAAGGUCUUCACCUAAGUCGGUCAAAGACAAAGUAUAUGGAGUGCAAGUUCAAUGCGAACGAGGGCUCAAAUGAGUUAGGGGUGAGGAUUGAAGAUCAGGAAGUACCAAAGAGCAACCGUUUUCACUACCUAGGAUCUAUCUUGCAAAAGAAAUGAGAGUUAGAUGGAGACCUUAACCAUAGAUACAAGCUAGAUUGAUGAAGUAGAAGAGUGCAUUUGGUGUGUUGUGUGACCGUCAUAUGCCACCAAAGCUCAAGGAAAAAUUUAGACGGCAAUAAAGCCAGCAAUGCUUUAUGGCACGGAAUAUUGGGCGGUGAAGCAUUAACAUAUAUUGAGUGUAGCGGAGAUAAGAAUGCUUCGUUGGAUGUGUGGGCACACGAGAAAGGAUAAGAGUCGAAAUGAGGAUAUCCGAGGUAAAGUAGGAGUAGCCGAAAUUGAAGAAAAGAUGGGAGAUAAUUGGUUACGAUGGUUUGGACAUGUGAAACGAAGGCAUACAGACGCUCUGGUUAGAAGAUGCAAUUAUGAGACAGGGGUUCAGGGCUGAAGGGGUAGAGGAAGACCUAGGAAAACUUUGAAAGAUACUCUAAGAAAAGACUUGGAGUACUUGGAUCUAACGUAAGACGUGGUACAAAACCGAGCGCAAUGGCAUUCUAGGAUUCAUAUAGCCAAUCUCACUUAGGGCCCGUUUGAUAUAUUAUUUUUUUCACUAAAAACUGCUUCACUUUAAAGUUAAGCAAUAAAAAUGUGUUUGGUAAAGUAAAAUGUCCUGCUUAUUUUAAAAACAAUGGGCUCUAGACAACAACUUUUAAAAGCAAUCUGUAGGUUGCUUUUAAAAGAUACUUUAAUAAAAAGUAAAGUUAGGUCUUUAAUAAAUAUGUUCAAUUGUUGUACAUUCAUUAAUUUUUUUAAAUGACAUUAUUUAGCCUUCCACACAUAUUUUAUCCUUUAUAGAAUAAAGUAAAUGCUACAACCUACCACUACUAAUACUAACCAUACACCAUCACCGCCGCUACAACCACCAUUUUUGCCACCACCACCGCC